rnacentral:rRNA from 1 species
UACGGGGGGGGCAAGCGUUGUUCGGAAUUACUGGGCGUAAAGGGCUCGUAGGCGGCCAACUAAGUCAGACGUGAAAUCCCUCGGCUUAACCGGGGAACUGCGUCUGAUACUGGAUGGCUAGAGGUUGGGAGAGGGAUGCGGAAUUCCAGGUGUAGCGGUGAAAUGCGUAGAUAUCUGGAGGAACACCGGUGGCGAAGGCGGCAUCCUGGACCAAUUCUGACACUGAGGAGCGAAAGCCAGGGGAGCAAACGGG